UACGUAGGGGGCGAGCGUUGUCCGGAGUUACUGGGCGUAAAGCGCGCGUAGGCGGUUCUUUAAGUGAUUGGUGAAAUCCCCGGGCUCAACCCGGGGUGGUCUGGUCAUACUGGAGAACUGGAGUGCGGGAGAGGAGAGUGGAACUCCUGGUGUAGCGGUGAUAUGCGUAGAGAUCAGGAAGAACACCCGUGGCGAAGGCGACUCUCUGGACCGCAACUGACGCUGAGGCGCGAAAGCCAGGGGAGCGAAC
rnacentral:rRNA from 1 species